UACAGAGGUCUCAAGCGUUGUUCGGAUUCAUUGGGCGUAAAGGGUGCGUAGGCGGCGCGGUAAGUCGGGUGUGAAAUCCCCAGGCUUAACCUGGGAACUGCAUUCGAGACUGCAUUGCUAGAGUAUGGGAGAGGGAAGUGGAAUUUCCGGUGUAGCGGUGAAAUGCGUAGAUAUCGGAAGGAACAUCAGUGGCGAAAGCGACUUCCUGGACCAAUACUGACGCUCAUGUGCGAAAGCGUGGGGAGCAAACAGG
rnacentral:rRNA from 1 species